rnacentral:lncRNA from 1 species
GGUCUUUCACCUCCGUUGCUUCUUUGGGCUCUUCUGCCCUCAUCUCCGUCUUCGGGAGCCUGGCUGGGAUCACCUGCUCAUCAAAUGAAGGAAGUUGAAGGUUAAACUUGCCUCUGAGACGAGGGAUCCUCAGGGGCCUGAGGUGUCCAAACAUCGUGGAGUUGCGAGCAGACAGCGCAGGUUUCUUCCUCGAGGGGGGGCUCCAGACCACAGGAGGCAGGACCCUCUGUGGGGUGCCCGUGUUCUGAGGGCUAAGACACAGCCUCAUAGGGGCACCAUCCCACCUGUCUGGAAAAGAAGGCCCAAGAUGUCGCUGACGGUUGAAGAGUGGGAAAUGGCCCCAGAUUCCCCGGGCAGGCACAGGUGCAGGAGCCGCGGGGUGAGCCCGGCCAGCUGGGAAGGCCUCACGGACAAGACGAGCAGGUGGCCGAUGGCAUGGCCAGGACCUGCGGCGGAACCAGGAACAAAAUACGCUUAGUGAGUUGCCCAUUUUGAGCGAGUUGUGCACAGACGAAAGUAAGGGUGAGAAGCGGAGAGGAUACUCCUAAGUCACCCACUUCUCUGUGGCCGGGUGCACACUGGGCAUCUGGGAGUUUAUGACAUCACAAUGGGGCUGGUGACAGAGCUAGGGUGUGGAGGAGUGCUUAGGAGCCCAGCGAGGGUGCCUACAAGAGGAGUCAAAGGGCAAAGGGUGAGACCCUUCCACCGGUUCCCCUGGACUCUAGCCUCAGGGACGUCCUGCUCCUGGGGGCAGUCCUGGGGUACUUAGCACCGUGGCAUAUCUGUAAUAAGCACAUGCACACCUCGAAGGAGGUCUUCACUUCAACAUACAAGUUGACCAUGGCAUGCUCUGGGCUCCAGUCCUCUACAAAGAUGUAGGGCAGGAACUACCAGUUGUCAGCACAGCACCAUCCCACAUUGCUCUUCUAAUGGAGACUUUCACCCCAGAUGUUCUUUCUCGUCUGAUGGGAAGGAUCCAAAUGAAAAAAUUGAGGCUCAAAGAAGUCCACCAAAUUGAGAGUGAAGUAGGGGAAACAGCAUUUAACGCUUACAUUCUAAUGAUUUGUGUAAGAGCAGCAGGACAAGCUAUACAAAGAAAAAGGUGGAAUUAUCAGGAUGGAAUUAAAGAUGCUUCCAAACAGAGGGGAUAUCUCAAGCCAUGACUCAGAGACUUAAAGAGAGGGAGAAAGAGGA